GACGAACGCUGGCGGCGUGCUUAACACAUGCAAGUCGAACGGUGAAGCGCCUUCCUUUUUGGUGGGUGUGGAUGAGUGGCGAACGGGUGAGUAACACGUGAGUAACCUGCCCCCUUCUUCUGGAUAACCGCAUGAAAGUGUGGCUAAUACGGGAUAUUCUGGGUCUGUCGCAUGAUGGGUCUGGGAAAGAUAUUGUUUCGGUGGGGGAUGGGCUCGCGGCCUAUCAGCUUGUUGGUGGGGUGAUGGCCUACCAAGGCGGUGACGGGUAGCCGGCCUGAGAGGGUGGACGGGCACACUGGGAAUGAGACAUGGGCCAGGCUCCUACGGGAGGCUGCAGGGGGGAAUAUUGCACAAUGGGCGCAAGGCUGAUGCAGCGACGCCGCGGGAGGGAUGGAGGCCUUCGGGUUGUGAACCUCUUUCGCCAGUGAAGCAGGCCUGCCUCGUUUGUGGGUGGGUUGACGGUAGCUGGAUAAGAAGCGCCGGCUAACUACGUG
rnacentral:rRNA from 1 species